UACAGAGGGUGCAAGCGUUUGUUCGGAAUUAUUGGGCGUAAAGGGCGCGUAGGCGGUGCGGUAAGUCUGCGGUGAAAUCUCCCCGGCUCAACUGGGAGCUGCCGUGGAAACUGCCGUGCUUGAGUGUGGGAGAGGUGAGUGGAAUUCCCGGUGUAGCGGUGAAAUGCGUAGAUAUGUGGAGGAAUACCGGUGGCGAAGGCGGCCUCCUGGCUUAAUACUGACGCUGAGGUGCGAAAGCGUGGGGAGCAAACAGG
rnacentral:rRNA from 1 species